UACGUAGGGUGCAAGCGUUAAUCGGAAUUACUGGGCGUAAAGCGCGCGUAGGUGGUUUGGUAAGAUGGAAGUGAAAGCCCCGGGCUCAACCUGGGAAUUGCUUUCAUAACUGCCUGACUAGAGUACGGUAGAGGGUGGUGGAAUUUCCUGUGUAGCGGUGAAAUGCGUAGAUAUAGGAAGGAACAUCAGUGGCGAAGGCGACCACCUGGACUGAUACUGACGCUGAGGUGCGAAAGCGUGGGGAGCAAACAGG
rnacentral:rRNA from 1 species